GUCUCUUUGAUUUAUUUUAAUAAAGAGUUGGGCCUGCUCGGUGAUUAAUAUUUAACAGCUGCGGUAUUAUAACUGUACUAAGGUAGCAUAAUAAUUUGCCUUAUAAAUUGAGGCUAGAAUGAAUGGUUUGACGAAAAUUAUACUGUCUCUGUCUUAUUUAUUAGAAGUUAAUUUUUAUAGUGAGAAAGCUUGGAUAAUUUAAAGGGACGAAAAGACCCUAUUGAGCUUUAUAUUAUACUUUAAAAUUAUUUAUUGUUUUUAUUUAAAUAUAAUUUUGGUUGGGGUGAUCAAGGAAUAAAUAAUUAAUUUUAACUUCCUUAAUUUGUUUAUAGUUAUAUGAAUAAACCAAAUUUUUUGCUUAGAAGAUAAGUUACCAUAGGGAUAACAGCGUAAUUUUUUUUGAAAGUUCAUAUUGAAAAAAGAGAUUGCGACCUCGAUGUUGGAUUAAAAUAACCUUAAGGUGAAGAGGCUUUAAUUGGUGAAUCUGUUCGAUUUUUAAAAUUUU
rnacentral:rRNA from 1 species